rnacentral:lncRNA from 1 species
GACUUGAUCAGGAACUUGAAAAGUCGAGAAAUUUCGGAUUACGUAAAGCUAUUGGAGUCCAUCUCUUGAUCAAGGUGGAUGGCUCGAAAGUAGAUACACCUAUUUAGAAGUUGAAUUCUUCUGAUAUUUGCAUGGUAAGAUCAUACUACAUGCAACACUUGAGCAACAGUAGAUGGGAGAGGAAGGAUUUCCUAGCUCGUCUUAUUUCGAAGGUCAAUGUGACUUCAAGGAUGGCUUUCUUCUCUUUGAAACGGCUAGGCAAUGCAUUCUACCAUUGCAUUAGUUAAU